rnacentral:rRNA from 1 species
GGCUCAACCAANGUAUGCUUUGGAAACUGUUAGACUUGAGUGCAGAAGGGGAGAGUGGAAUNCCAUGUGUAGCGGUGAAAUGCGUAGAUAUAUGGAGGAACACCGGUGGCGAAAGCGGCUCUCUGGUCUGUCACUGACGCUGAGGCUCGAAAGCGUGGGUAGCGAACAGGAUUAGAUACCCUGGUAGUNCACGCCGUAAACGAUGAGUGCUAGGUGUUAGGUCCUUUCCGGGACUUAGUGCCGCAGCUAACGCAAUAAGCACUCCGCCUGGGGAGUACGACCGCAAGGUUGAAACUCAAAGGAAUUGACGGGGGCCCGCACAAGCGGUGGAGCAUGUGGUUUAAUUCGAAGCAACGCGAAGAACCUUACCAGGUCUUGACAUCCCGAUGCCCGCUCUAGAGAUAGAGUUUUUCUUCGGAACAUCGGAGACAGGUGGUGCAUGGUUGUCGUCAGCUCGUGUCGUGAGAUGUUGGGUUAAGUCCCGCAACGAGCGCAACCCUUAUUGUUAGUUGCCAUCAUUGAGUUGGGCACUCUAGCGAGACUGCCGGUAAUAAACCGGAGGAAGGUGGGGAUGACGUCAAAUCAUCAUGCCCCUUAUGACCUGGGCUACACACGUGCUACAAUGGUUGGUACAACGAGUCGCAAGCCGGUGACGGCAAGCUAAUCUCUGAAAGCCAAUCUCAGUUCGGAUUGUAGGCUGCAACUCGCCUACAUGAAGUCGGAAUCGCUAGUAAUCGCGGAUCAGCACGCCGCGGUGAAUACGUUCCCGGGCCUUGUACACACCGCUCGUCACACCACGAGAGUUUGUAACACCCAAAGUCGGUGAGGUAACCAUAUAG